rnacentral:rRNA from 1 species
GACGGAGGAUGCAAGCGUUUCCGGAAUUAUUGGGCGUAAAGCGUCCGCAGGUGGCUGCUCAAGUCUGCUGUCAAAGCGCAGAGCUUAACUCUGUACAGGCGGUGGAAACUGAAGAGCUAGAGUAUGGUAGGGGUAGAGGGAAUUCCCGGUGGAGCGGUGAAAUGCAUUGAGAUCGGAAAGAACACCAACGGCGAAAGCACUCUGCUGGGCCGACACUGACACUGAGAGACGAAAGCUAGGGGAGCAAAUGGG